GUUAACUGAACCUUCGGGGAACGUUAACGGCGUCGAGCGGCGGACGGGUGAGUAAUGCCUAGGAAAUUGCCCUGAUGUGGGGGAUAACCAUUGGAAACGAUGGCUAAUACCGCAUGAUGCCUACGGGCCAAAGAGGGGGACCUUCGGGCCUCUCGCGUCAGGAUAUGCCUAGGUGGGAUUAGCUAGUUGGUGAGGUAAGGGCUCACCAAGGCGACGAUCCCUAGCUGGUCUGAGAGGAUGAUCAGCCACACUGGAACUGAGACACGGUCCAGACUCCUACGGGAGGCAGCAGUGGGGAAUAUUGCACAAUGGGCGCAAGCCUGAUGCAGCCAUGCCGCGUGUGUGAAGAAGGCCUUCGGGUUGUAAAGCACUUUCAGUCGUGAGGAAGGUAGUGUGUUUAAUAGAUGCAUUAUUUGACGUUAGCGACAGAAGAAGCACCGGCUAACUCCGUGCCAGCAGCCGCGGUAAUACGGAGGGUGCGAGCGUUAAUCGGAAUUACUGGGCGUAAAGCGCAUGCAGGUGGUUUGUUAAGUCAGAUGUGAAAGCCCGGGGCUCAACCUCGGAAUAGCAUUUGAAACUGGCAGACUAGAGUACUGUAGAGGGGGGUAGAAUUUCAGGUGUAGCGGUGAAAUGCGUAGAGAUCUGAAGGAAUACCGGUGGCGAAGGCGGCCCCCUGGACAGAUACUGACACUCAGAUGCGAAAGCGUGGGGAGCAAACAGGAUUAGAUACCCUGGUAGUCCACGCCGUAAACGAUGUCUACUUGGAGGUUGUGGCCUUGAGCCGUGGCUUUCGGAGCUAACGCGUUAAGUAGACCGCCUGGGGAGUACGGUCGCAAGAUUAAAACUCAAAUGAAUUGACGGGGGCCCGCACAAGCGGUGGAGCAUGUGGUUUAAUUCGAUGCAACGCGAAGAACCUUACCUACUCUUGACAUCCAGAGAACUUUCCAGAGAUGGAUUGGUGCCUUCGGGAACUCUGAGACAGGUGCUGCAUGGCUGUCGUCAGCUCGUGUUGUGAAAUGUUGGGUUAAGUCCCGCAACGAGCGCAACCCUUAUCCUUGUUUGCCAGCGAGUAAUGUCGGGAACUCCAGGGAGACUGCCGGUGAUAAACCGGAGGAAGGUGGGGACGACGUCAAGUCAUCAUGGCCCUUACGAGUAGGGCUACACACGUGCUACAAUGGCGCAUACAGAGGGCGGCCAACUUGCGAAAGUGAGCGAAUCCCAAAAAGUGCGUCGUAGUCCGGAUUGGAGUCUGCAACUCGACUCCAUGAAGUCGGAAUCGCUAGUAAUCGUGGAUCAGAAUGCCACGGUGAAUACGUUCCCGGGCCUUGUACACACCGCCCGUCACACCAUGGGAGUGGGCUGCAAAAGAAGUAGGUAGUUU
rnacentral:rRNA from 1 species